rnacentral:rRNA from 1 species
CCUACGGGGGGCAGCAGUGGGGAAUAUUGCGCAAUGGGCGAAAGCCUGAUGCAGCAACGCCGCGUGAAGGAAGAAGGGUUUCGGCUCGUAAACUUCUAUCAACAGGGACGAAAGAAAUGACGGUACCUGAAUAAGAAGCCCCGGCUAACUACGUGCCCGCAGCCGCGGUAAUACGGAGGAUGCGAGCGUGAUCCGGAUUUAUUGGGUUAAAAAGGUGCGUAGGCGGGAUGCCAAGUCAGCGGUAAAAAUGCGGUGCUAAACGCCGUCGAGCCGUUGAAACUGGCGUUCUUGAGUGGGCGAGAAGUAUGCGGAAUGCGUGGUGUAGCGGUGAAAUGCAUAGAUAUCACGCAGAACUCCGAUUGCGAAGGCAGCAUACCGGCGCCCUACUGACGCUGAGGCACGAAAGCGUGGGUAUCGAACAGGAUUAGAUACCCGUGUAGUC